UGGGAAAUAUUGCACAAUGGGCGAAAGCCUGAUGCAGCAACGCCGCGUGAGUGAUGACGGCCUUCGGGUUGUAAGGCUCUGUCUUUGGGGACGAUAAUGACGGUACCCAAGGAGGAAGCCACGGCUCACUACGUGCCAGCAGCCUCGGUAAUACGUAGGUGGCAAUCGUUGUCCGGAUUUACUGGGCGUAAAGGGUGCGUAGGCGGACCUUUAAGUGAGAUUUGAAAUCCCCGAGCUUAACUUGGGGGCUGCAUUUCAAACUGGAGGUCUAGAGUGCAGGAGAGGAGAGUGGAAUUCCUAGUGUAGCGGUGUAAUGCGUAGAGAUUAGGAAGAACACCAGUGGCGAAUGCGACUCUCUGGACUGUAACUGACGCUGAGGCACGAAAGCGUGGGGAGCAAACAG
rnacentral:rRNA from 1 species